rnacentral:rRNA from 1 species
UACGUAGGGUGCAAGCGUUGUCCGGAAUUAUUGGGCGUAAAGAGCUCGUAGGCGGUCUGUCGCGUCUGCUGUGAAAACUCAGGGCUUAACCCUGAGCUUGCAGUGGGUACGGGCAGACUAGAGUGCGGUAGGGGAGACUGGAAUUCCUGGUGUAGCGGUGAAAUGCGCAGAUAUCAGGAGGAACACCGGUGGCGAAGGCGGUUCUCUGGGCCUUACCUGACACU